GGGCCCGCACAAGCGGAGGAGCAUGUGGCUUAAUUCGAUGCAACGCGAAGAACCUUACCAGGGCUUGACAUGUAACUGCUAAUCCUAUGAAAGUAGGACUCUUUCGAAGGUGUUACACAGGUGCUGCAUGGUUGUCGUCAGCUCGUGCCGUGAGGUGUCAGGUUAAGUCCUAUAACGAGCGCAACCCCUGUUGUUAGUUGCCAUCGAGUCAUGUCGGGAACUCUAACAAGACUGCCGGUGCAAACCGUGAGGAAGGUGGGGAUGACGUCAAAUCAUCACGGCCCUUACGUCCUGGCUACACACGUGCUACAAUGGCCGGUACAGAGAGCAGCCACUACGCGAGUAGGCGCGAA
rnacentral:rRNA from 1 species